UACCAGCACCCCGAGUGGUCGGGACGUUUAUUGGGCCUAAAGCAUCCGUAGCCGGUUCUGCAAGUCUUCCGUUAAAUCCACCUGCUUAACAGAUGGGCCGCGGAAGAUACUAUAGAGCUAGGAGGCGGGAGAGGCAAGCGGUACUCGAUGGGUAGGGGUAAAAUCCGUUGAUCCAUUGAAGACCACCAGUGGCGAAGGCGGCUUGCCAGAACGCGCUCGACGGUGAGGGAUGAAAGCUGGGGGAGCAAACCGGG
rnacentral:rRNA from 1 species